CCCUUAGAUGUCCUGGGCCGCACGCGCGCUACACUGAUGCAUGCAACGAGUUUAUAACCUUGGCCUGAAAGGUCUGGGUAAUCUUUUGAACGUGCAUCGUGAUAGGGAUAGAUUAUUGCAAUUGUUAAUCUUGAACGAGGAAUUCCUAGUAAACGCGAGUCAUCAGCUCGCAUUGAUUACGUCCCUGCCCUUUGUACACACCGCCCGUCGCACCUACCGAUUGAAUGGUCCGGUGAAAUCUUCGGAUUGAGACUUUGAUUUCUUCACGGAAAACGCUGUUUUAAAAAGUUGAUUAAACCUUACCAUUUAGAGGAAGGUGAAGUCGUAACA
rnacentral:rRNA from 1 species